rnacentral:misc_RNA from 1 species
UCUUCUGUAGAAAAUUAGGGUUCAAUCAUAGCAGCAUUACUCUAUUAGACUUAAAGACGCAACUGGGUGUUCUUCAUUUUGAUACAUUAUUCAUGACCAGAUGUUUCUCAAAUAAUUUACCUUUGAAAUCAAAUGGCGACUCUUUUACUAUUUCAUUCCUCAUAAGUUCAUGUGGAUUAUCCCCAGAAUCCGCUAAAUCUGUCUUUAAGAAACUAGGCUUGAAAAGCCCAAAAGAACCGGACUCUUCGCUUAGCUUUCUUAGAGAUAUUGGACUCACCGAUAUCCAAAUCUCCAAAGUUGUCCGAAAACGGUCCCAUUUGCUUUUGUCUGACCUUAAGAAAAUAGUUUUGCCAAACAAACAAGCCUUUAAUCCUGUAAAAUCUGCAUUUGCUUUUGCGCUCAAAGUGAAAUUACAAACGUCCCCGAUAACUUGGAAAGGUAAAAUAGAUGGUUUUAUGAGGUGGUGUUUGUCC